UCCUACGGGAGGCAGCAGUCGAGAAUAUUCCUCAAUGGGCGAAAGUCUGAAGGAGCGACGCCGCGUGCAGGACGAAGGGCUUCGGCUCGUAAACUGCUUUUAUCAGGGAAGAACAUUGACGGUACCUGAAGAAUAAGAGGUUGCUAACUCUGUGCCAGCAGCCGCGGUA
rnacentral:rRNA from 1 species